GAUGAACGCUGGCGGCGUGCCUAAUACAUGCAAGUCGAGCGAACAGAUGAGGAGCUUGCUCCUCUGACGUUAGUGGCGGACGGGUGAGUAACACGUGGAUAACCUACCUAUAAGACUGGGAUAACUUCGGGAAACCGGAGCUAAUACCGGAUAAUAUAUUGAACCGCAUGGUUCAAUAGUGAAAGACGGUUUUGCUGUCACUUAUAGAUGGAUCCGCGCCGCAUUAGCUAGUUGGUAAGGUAACGGCUUACCAAGGCGACGAUGAGUAGCCGACCUGAGAGGGUGAUCGGCCACACUGGAACUGAGACACGGUCCAGACUCCUACGGGAGGCAGCAGUAGGGAAUCUUCCGCAAUGGGCGAAAGCCUGACGGAGCAACGCCGCGUGAGUGAUGAAGGUCUUCGGAUCGUAAAACUCUGUUAUUAGGGAAGAACAAAUGUGUAAGUAACUAUGCACGUCUUGACGGUACCUAAUCAGAAAGCCACGGCUAACUACGUG
rnacentral:rRNA from 1 species